GUGAGGAAGAUAAUGACGGUACUCAACAAGGAAGUGACGGCUAACUACGUGCCAGCAGCCGCGGUAAAACGUAGGUCACAAGCGUUGUCCGGAAUUACUGGGUGUAAAGGGAGCGCAGGCGGGAAGACAAGUUGGAAGUGAAAUCCAUGGGCUCAACCCAUGAACUGCUUUCAAAACUGUUUUUCUUGAGUAGUGCAGAGGUAGGCGGAAUUCCCGGUGUAGCGGUGGAAUGCGUAGAUAUCGGGAGGAACACCAGUGGCGAAGGCGGCCUACUGGGCACCAACUGACGCUGAGGCUCGAAAGUGUGGGUAGCAAACAGGAUUAGAUACCCUGGUAGUCCACACCGUAAACGAUGAUUACUAGGUGUUGGAGGAUUGACCCCUUCAGUGCCGCAGUUAACACAAUAAGUAAUCCACCUGGGGAGUACGACCGCAAGGUUGAAACUCAAAGGAAUUGACGGGGGCCCGCACAAGCAGUGGAGUAUGUGGUUUAAUUCGACGCAACGCGAAGAACCUUACCAAGUCUUGACAUCCUGCGACGRACAUAGAAAYAKUUYUUUCCUUCGGGACGCAGAGACAGGUGGUGCAUGGUUGUCGUCAGCUCGUGUCGUGAGAUGUUGGGUUAAGUCCCGCAACGAGCGCAACCCUUAUGGUCAGUUACUACGCAAGAGGACUCUGGCCAGACUGC
rnacentral:rRNA from 1 species